GCUAUCUACAGGCUUAACACAUGCAAGUCGAGGGGCAGCAUGGUCUUAUCUUGCUAAGACUGAUGGCGACCGGCGCACGGGUGAGUAACACGUAUCCAACCUGCCGUCUACUCUUGGACAGCCUUCUGAAAGGAAGAUUAAUACAAGAUGGCAUCAUGAGUCCGCAUGUUCACAUGAUUAAAGGUAUUCCGGUAGACGAUGGGGAUGCGUUCCAUUAGAUAGUAGGCGGGGUAACGGCCCACCUAGUCUUCGAUGGAUAGGGGUUCUGAGAGGAAGGUCCCCCACAUUGGAACUGAGACACGGUCCAAACUCCUACGGGAGGCAGCAGUGAGGAAUAUUGGUCAAUGGGCGAGAGCCUGAACCAGCCAAGUAGCGUGAAGGAUGACUGCCCUAUGGGUUGUAAACUUCUUUUAUAAAGGAAUAAAGUCGGGUAUGGAUACCCGUUUGCAUGUACUUUAUGAAUAAGGAUCGGCUAACUCCGUGCCAGCAGCCGCGGUAAUACGGAGGAUCCGAGCGUUAUCCGGAUUUAUUGGGUUUAAAGGGAGCGUAGAUGGAUGUUUAAGUCAGUUGUGAAAGUUUGCGGCUCAACCGUAAAAUUGCAGUUGAUACUGGAUAUCUUGAGUGCAGUUGAGGCAGGCGGAAUUCGUGGUGUAGCGGUGAAAUGCUUAGAUAUCACGAAGAACUCCGAUUGCGAAGGCAGCCUGCUAAGCUGCAACUGACAUUGAGGCUCGAAAGUGUGGGUAUCAAACAGGAUUAGAUACCCUGGUAGUCCACACGGUAAACGAUGAAUACUCGCUGUUUGCGAUAUACUGCAAGCGGCCAAGCGAAAGCGUUAAGUAUUCCACCUGGGGAGUACGCCGGCAACGGUGAAACUCAAAGGAAUUGACGGGGGCCCGCACAAGCGGAGGAACAUGUGGUUUAAUUCGAUGAUACGCGAGGAACCUUACCCGGGCUUAAAUUGCAGAUGAAUUACGGUGAAAGCCGUAAGCCGCAAGGCAUCUGUGAAGGUGCUGCAUGGUUGUCGUCAGCUCGUGCCGUGAGGUGUCGGCUUAAGUGCCAUAACGAGCGCAACCCUUGUUGUCAGUUACUAACAGGUUCCGCUGAGGACUCUGACAAGACUGCCAUCGUAAGAUGUGAGGAAGGUGGGGAUGACGUCAAAUCAGCACGGCCCUUACGUCCGGGGCUACACACGUGUUACAAUGGGGGGUACAGAGGGCCGCUACCACGCGAGUGGAUGCCAAUCCCCAAAACCUCUCUCAGUUCGGACUGGAGUCUGCAACCCGACUCCACGAAGCUGGAUUCGCUAGUAAUCGCGCAUCAGCCACGGCGCGGUGAAUACGUUCCCGGGCCUUGUACACACCGCCCGUCAAGCCAUGGGAGCCGGGGGUACCUGAAGUGCGUAACCGCGAGGAGCGCCCUAGGGUAAAACUGGUGACUGGGGCU
rnacentral:rRNA from 1 species